AAUGCAAGUGUUUAACAGAUGCUUCACUAUUAAAAUAUUUUCCCCCCAAGUCUCAAAUAUUGAAGAAUCUCUAACCAGAAGGCACAGAUCAUUCAUGGGGAUGUAUAACCGAAACCAGUCCUCUCCACCGCCUGGGGAUCUUCACUUUCGCAGUCUACGACUGCCUGUGACUCCAGAAAGACAAACUGCAGAUUGGCCAAGAUGGAUUAAGCUGGAAUAAUAAAGUAUAUCUAUGAGAUGAUUUCUGUAAACUCUGACUUGCUGAGAAAAAAGUGAAAAAGCUUUUUCUGGAAGAAACAUGGCAACUUAACCGUUAUUAAUCUGGACUAAAUAAAACAGGAAACUGCUUCUUUA
rnacentral:lncRNA from 1 species